AAAUCACAAUGCGGAACAAUGUUUUGCAAUUGGAUUGAGAACAACGUACAAACCUUAUCGAUAAACAAUUGGAGGGCAAGUCUGGUGCCAGCAGCCGCGGUAAUUCCAGCUCCAAUAGCGUAUAUUAACGUUGUUGCAGUUAAAAAGCUCGUAGUUGAAGUGAAGAGUGGUGAUUGUUGUACUACAUUCGUGUAGUUUCAUGAAUCAACACUCUCCCUCUAAAUCCUGUAUAUGAGUAUUAAUUUACUUGUAUACGUAUUUAGACAUUUACUGUGAGAAAAUUAGAGUGUUCAAAGCAGGCAUUUGCUUGAAUAUAUUAGCAUGGAAUAAUCAUGUAUGAUUUUCAUGAAGUAUUUGAUUGGUUUUGGUCAUGAGAAUAAGAUUAAAAGGGACAGUUGGGGGUAUUCAUAUUCAAUAGUCAGAGGUGAAAUUCUCGGAUUUAUGGAAGAUGA
rnacentral:rRNA from 1 species